ensembl:snRNA U6 U6 spliceosomal RNA
GUGCUUGCUUCAGCAGCACAUAUACUAAAACCGGAACAAUACAGAGAAAAUUAGCAUGGUGCUUACAGCAGGAUGAUGUGCAAAUUCGUGAAGCAUUCCAUAUUCUU